AGGGUGAGGCUACCGAUCUGAUGCUCCUGAAGAGUGUGAGAGUCAGAGAGGAGACAGAGAGGCAGAGAGAGCAAGAAACAAAAUAGAAAGAGGGGAAAAAAAGCUAGUGGAAGCACUAGGACACAAUCAACGCCACUGUCUUCUGAGACGAAAACGCGUCAGGUCAUCCGAGGUGCUGCAGGGAGAUGGUAGCCGUUGCCAUUGCCUCUCUGUAUGAUCCUGAGCAGUACCAACUGACGACACAGCUGAGAAGAUUUCAUGAGAGAAAACUGGACUGAAGCUGCACUCUAUGGUCACAUACACAUUAAUGAUUUAUUGCUCCGAGAAUAGAUUUAUGGUAGAUUCGACAAUACAAAGCAAAUAUUCAUACAGAGAGUGUUCAUGAUGUGAUGAUGCAAACCUGUAUAUAAAAUGCAAAGGUAUACUUGUAUGUAAGAUUUUUUUUCCUUAAGCAAAAAUGUGAUGAUGCAAUGACAUUUUAUCAUUUUAAUCUAAACUGAAUGUAGUUAAAUGGAUAAGGAGUUUACAGAAUGU